UGCAGGUGAUGAUGAUGAUGAUGGUGAUGGUGGUGAUGAUGAUGGUCACCACCAUCAUAACCAUCUUCAUAAUGUUGUUAAUAUUCAUCACCAUCGCCAUUAUCAUCACCAUCACCACCACCAUCAUCAUCAUCAUCAUCA
rnacentral:pre_miRNA from 1 species